UGACCGCGCGCUCGGCCCAAUGUUUUUGCACCCCCUGCAAUAGUGACCUUAAGAUUUAACGACGCGUUCAUCUACAACGCGAGCGGAAAUGAAUUUUAAACCAAUGCGCAUGUGCGUGAGUCGUUGAGUUUUGUCGUGCUUCUACAACGCGGCGUCUUUGCUUAAUCCCACGUCGUCCUAUAUCGAAGGUGGAAUUUUUCACAAAAAAAGUUUUAAACAAGGCAAGAAAAUGGCAGAACAGUUUUCAUCAGCAUCAAGUGAUUGCUCAUCAAUCAUGAUGUCGAACUGUGCAAAGAAGUUGUUGUGUCAAGACUUUUUGAAACAAGAAAAAAAUCCCUUGAAAGAGGGAAGGUGUGGGAAGCCGUUGCUAGGAAGUUAGAGCAACAUGACCACAUUUGCUUUCGUGUUGACCAGCGUGCAGUAAGAGACAGAGUGCGAAAAUUGCUUGCAAACUAUUGCAAGAAAGAAA